AGUGAACGCUGGCGGAAGGCCUAACACAUGCAAGUCGAACGGCAGCACAGUAAGAGCUUGCUCUUACGGGUGGCGAGUGGCGGACGGGUGAGGAAUACAUCGGAAUCUACUUUUUCGUGGGGGAUAACGUAGGGAAACUUACGCUAAUACCGCAUACGACCUACGGGUGAAAGCAGGGGAUCUUCGGACCUUGCGCGAUUGAGUGAGCCGAUGUCGGAUUAGCUAGUUGGCGGGGUAAAGGCCCACCAAGGCGACGAUCCGUAGCUGGUCUGAGAGGAUGAUCAGCCACACUGGAACUGAGACACGGUCCAGACUCCUACGGGAGGCAGCAGUGGGGAAUAUUGGACAAUGGGCGCAAGCCUGAUCCAGCCAUACCGCGUGGGUGAAGAAGGCCUUCGGGUUGUAAAGCCCUUUUGUUGGGAAAGAAAAGCAGCAGGUUAAUACCCCGCUGUUCUGACGGUACCCAAAGAAUAAGCACCGGCUAACUUCGUG
rnacentral:rRNA from 1 species